rnacentral:rRNA from 1 species
UGGGGAAUUUUGGACAAUGGGCGAAAGCCUGAUCCAGCAAUGCCGCGUGUGUGAAGAAGGCCUUCGGGUUGUAAAGCACUUUUGUCCGGAAAGAAAUCCUUGGCUCUAAUACAGUCGGGGGAUGACGGUACCGGAAGAAUAAGCACCGGCUAACUACGUGCCAGCAGCCGCGGUAAUACGUAGGGUGCAAGCGUUAAUCGGAAUUACUGGGCGUAAAGCGUGCGCAGGCGGUUUGCUAAGACCGAUGUGAAAUCCCCGGGCUCAACCUGGGAACUGCAUGUGACUGGCAGGCUAGAGUAUGGCAGAGGGGGGUAGAAUUCCACGUGUAGCAGUGAAAUGCGUAGAGAUGUGGAGGAAUACCGAUGGCGAAGGCAGCCCCCUGGGCCAAUACUGACGCUCAUGCACGAAAGCGUGGGGAGCAAACAGGAUUAGAUACCCUGGUAGUCCACGCCCUAAACGAUGUCAACUAGUUGUUGGGGAUUCAUUUCCUUAGUAACGUAGCUAACGCGUGAAGUUGACCGCCUGGGGAGUACGGUCGCAAGAUUAAAACUCAAAUGAAUUGACGGGGUCAUAGCUGUUUCCU